rnacentral:rRNA from 1 species
UGGUGGAGUGAUUUGUCUGGUUAAUUCCGUUAACGAACGAGACCUCGACCUGCUAAAUAGUUUGGCGAAUUCCCCUGUGGGAUUCGCACAUAACUUCUUAGAGGGACUAUCGGUUCGCAGCCGGUGGAAGUUCGAGGCAAUAACA